UCGGAGUCAGGAUGGCGCUGGUUUUACUGAAGUUGUGGCCAACAAACCUCAUAACUCAGUCAGACCACGCCAUACUGCUCACU
rnacentral:pre_miRNA from 1 species